UACGUAGGGUGCAAGCGUUGUCCGGAAUUAUUGGGCGUAAAGCGCGCGCAGGCGGCCCGCGAGGUGUCACGUGAAAGCCCCGGGCUCAACCCGGGAGGGUCGUGGCAAACCGGCGGGCUUGAGGCCGGUAGAGGUGGGUGGAACUCCUGGUGGAGUGGUGAAAUGCGUAGAGAUCAGGAAGAACACCCGUGGCGAAGGCGGCCCACUGGGCCGGUACUGACGCUGAGGCGCGAAGGCGUGGGGAGCAAACAGG
rnacentral:rRNA from 1 species